rnacentral:tRNA from 1 species
GGGAGUGCGUUCGUCCUGGAAGGGGGGCGGCGGACUCAUAGUCCGUCGGCCGUGGGUUCGAGUCCCACCCGCCCCA